AUACAGAUUAAUGACAGAUUAAUGAUUUCUUGGUGGACACCCGAGAUCCUAUGGUGAGAAGGGGCCAGAAAAUGACGAGACAACCGACACUGUAUCCUCUCUGAGAUGCCCAGGGAAGAUUUUCUAUUUAGAGGGCUUGCACUUCCAAAGCCUCCGUUUAUGCUUCUAUCAGAAAGACGCCGACUGCUAGUGCCUGGCCUUGUUCCAAAUGGGCUGUCAGGCUCAGGUACUACUUUACUCUGUACCUUCUUCUGUUCCUGCAUUUAAGAUCACCCUUGUGUAUUGAAAUAUUCUAAAAAUGCCAUAAUCACAGUUUAUAGUAGUAUAAGGGAGUAUGGAGAGAUUAGUGAAUGAGAAUGAAAAAGGUUCUGAAGAUAUUACCCGUUGUCUUUGUUUCUCCUCUUCCUUUUCCUUUCUCAACAUAUGGUACUCUUCAAGCAUUGCUAGUAGAGGAACCUGAAGUCCGGAUUUUAGUUCUAGUACAAAGGUUUAUUCAGAAACAUUGCAAAGCUGAAUAAUGAGGCAUAAAAGGCUUUGGAUUCUGAUCAUUCUGUGAAUGAAAUCAAAGUUAGUUUCCUAGAAAACUGAACAAGUGCAUGAUCAUGAAAUGAAAAACCAACUCAAGUGUGUAUAAGUUAUCCUGAGAGUGUUCUCUCUGCUGGAACGUUAUCUACCUAACCAGUUUAACACUACAAUUUCAUCACUUCUAUGAAUACCAUGUCUAUCAUAUAUCCAAGAAUGUGUCUUCACUGUUCCACAGCUUUCUAUAUAGAUAACUUUUACUUGUUAUAUUCCCCGAUCACAUGGGAAGAUGGUACGUAUUCAUUAUGCUUACAAGAAUGAUUCACUGAAGUAGCUAUUCCGAACAGUAUACCUCAUCAUACAAGAAGACUUUCUUUCUUUCAUCUUCCCAGUCCUUAGUCUUGGAUAUCAGCAAGUCCACCAAAGCUGCCAGGAGGAUGAAACAGACAAAUUUAAUAUGGUUAUCAACCCUUUUAAACUCAUCUAGUUGGUUUAGUCUUUCAUUCUAGUACAAAAUAAUGCAUUAGUAAUAAUCAUGGAGAUAACUCUUAACCUGGUAUCUUGUUGACCAUCAAUCUGGCUCGCUCAGCUCUUUUAAGGUUCUUAUGAGCACCUCUGCUAACCGAAUAGCGAUUUUCAUCCUGAAUUGGGAAAUUAGCAGCUAAGAUUUUCUUGCUGAAGGGGUUCUUAAUGUAUUUGUAUUUAAAUGAAGAAGAGAAGAAUCUGACCAUGCUGUACUCUUCUAACCAGAGCUCCUCGUCACAUGCCAAUAUCCACUUUUCAACCUUCUCCAUGAUCACCUUCCUGCUACUAGCUUCUUCUUCAGCUCUUGAUAUCUGCUCAUCCACACUUGUGAGGAGAUCGGCAUGAUCAAUCUCCCCUUUUAUAUGUAUGGCCAUGGGUCAAAUGUGAUAUAGGAGUAUGAGCUACAACUAAAAAUUUUCUUUCUAAAAAUUCAGUCUUACCAGAGUCUAUUUGGCUGAUUAUUUUUUCCAUCUCCGAUCUCGAUGGUAUUUCCAUGUGUGAUUUUCUGCAUAUGUCCUCGAGCUCUAUUUGUUUCUUGAAGAAAAACUCUUUCAUCUUGCUUGCUUUCAACUGAUCCAGUCUCUUCACUUCAGUGCCAGCCUUGAAAACGAUUUAUAAUCAAAUUAAAUCAUUUCUAGCAUAUAAUUCUAGAGAAGUAUCUGACGGUAUACCUGCUGCACCAUGUCAAGAGUAAGGCUUCCGGGAGUGGAUAUCUCCGCUGAUGCCAUCGAUGAUAGAUUGGCAACACGCAGAAAUUCUUGACGAUCUUUAUAGGGUGUAUCCAUGAGAUUCCACAAAUCAGACAAUGCUUUACCAAGUUGUUGCAGCUGCAUUAAUAGUUCAACUAAACAGAGUUAUUAUGCUAGGUGUUUGAGUGACCAUGUGUAUAGUCUUACUCUUUACUGUACAUUCCAUGUAUGAUAUUUAUUGUGAAAUGGACCAGAUCUUACUUGAUGAAAUUGUACAGGAUAUAAAAAAUUAAUUACCUUGUCAAAUCGUGUUUGUUUUUCUGUUUGAAGUGAUUUCACUGUGCUAUCAAGCUUUUCCAGGAUACCGUCACUGAUGUUCUUUGACAAUCCUGAUAAUUCAUUCAAGCUUGGGUGCACCUUUGUUAUGAUCAAUGAAGAAUCCAUUCCUAAAGUGGCUGACAAGUUUUUUAUUGUGCUAAUGUAGUUUUCCAUCCUCUGAAGUCUGUCACUCUUUGAUACGGAUAUGAACAUGCAAGAGAACAAUUAAAGUGAUUGGUUUCUUAAUCUAUUUAGCCCUAAUAACAUACUCUAGUCACAUGCAGUACCUUUUCACUGUGAAGUCUCAGAAGCUCAUUUUGGAACUCCUCGAGUUUCUUAAGUGAUAGAUCAUUUUCAUUGACACAAACUGGUGAUGUUGAAUCAUUAUACUCUGUCUGACCUGCAAUUUCUGCAGAAAUUUUAUGAAUCUGCCCUUGUACUACUCGAAAUUGCUUCACCCGAUCUUCUUUCCUUAACUGCAUCUCUCUUAGUGCUGGUGUUAUAGAAUUUAGCUGCUCUUUCAGCGUUCCUGCCAUUUUCUCUGGCUGUCAAGGAUGAAAAUGGUACUUGGAUCAAAACAGAACACUGCAUAUUUAAAAGCUUUUCACCUGCUAAAAUCCAUAAUAAUUGUUUGCUGUAAAGUAAAUUUAUUAGAAUGUCAAGCUUCCUUCCCCAGUAAUUCAACAUGAAUAGAUGUUUUAAAUCAGUUUACAUAAUUGCAUAGAACAUCAUCAAUUUGUUUUUACAUUGUGCUUCUACCUCUUGACCAUCAUGUAGAAAGCAUUGAGAGUAUUUUUCAUGCUUCAAAUUUGAUUUCUCUUUAAGCCUGUGAAUAUUUACAAGAGCGAGCUAUAACAUUUUGGUAACAGUUUUUCAAUAUUGGUAUACAACAGUGUUGGCUCUUCCAGGAUACAUUACUUAAUGAGAUGAUUAUACAAAGAUUUUGGUUUAACUAUUAUACUAGUAUGUAGUAGUACAUAUCUUACCCUUCCUGGCAGUGAUCUUUCUCCAAGUGAGAGGAGGAGAUGAGUAAACUCAGCCUCGGACUCUGCAAGCUGCUGAUGUAGCCGAGCUCGUGAAAUGUUAGCUGUGUCAACUUUUCUUCUAUAAAUCUCGACACAUUCCUGUUCAAGUUCAAGCAGAACCUUUUCCCGCUCAAAUUUGUCUUCUCCGACUUCAUCCCAUAUAAUCUGCAAGUCAUAUUACAACAAUCUCGAUCCCAUCAGGAGAAUCCUUUGUGAUGAGAUGGAAGACGGGAGGAGAAAAGCUCAAGCCCCGAUUAGAGAGCUACCAGUCGUUUCUUAGAGACGACUAGUAUUGUCUUGCACUGCAAGAGCAGUUUUAAAAACUAGUGAGAUGGAGGGACCAUAGUGAGGUGGGACUUUGGUUUUGGGAGUGAAUAUUUGCUUAAAAGAUAAGUUUUCACUGGUGGGAUGACAGUGAAACUUUAGGUUCAAGGAUUCUUUGUUGCUUUUGAUCUUCAACCUACUUUACUUUCCAGAUUAACUCUACUGUGUUUUGUGUCAACAGAUGAGAUAAUGCUUUGAUUCUCUCAUCACAGUCCAGCUUCUAAUGAUGUGUGAUUUCACCACUUUAUUUUCUUCAAGCAGGCAAAACUCUCAAGAGAAAUAAAAGGGCAAAACAAAUGGUAAUGCACCAUAGAGUUGUGCUAUGAGUGAGAAUCUUGUUAUUGGAUUAUGAUUAUCAUAUGGGAUUACUAGAUCAUGGUCUCGUGCUCUUAACCUUUAUUCUAUAAUCAUGUUUAAUUAUUGCAA